rnacentral:lncRNA from 1 species
UCACUCAACUCUAACCAUAAGUUUAUGAGACUAGUCCGAAGCCAAAGGGUGGGCGCUUGAGCACAAAGCCAUCCAACCCAGUUAAACUCAGGGCUUUUAAAUUCACUGUGAAGUACAGCAAUCACACGUGUGAAGAACAGUGUGCUAUAUAGUAAUUUUACACAACAAGUUUUUCACUUGUUAUGCCUUCACUACAGACCUAAAAAGCCAGGUCUGUAGUGAAGGCAUGUAAUCUCUGCUACUUAGGGGGCUGAGGCAGGAGGAUCACAGUUGGAGGCCUGCCUAAUACCAUAAAGUAAGAUCAAGUCCAGCCUGGCAAUUUAGUGAGACUCUGACUCAAAAUAAAAAAUGAAGUCUGGGGAUUUCACUCAAUAGUGUCUCGCCUCACACAUACAAAGCUCUGGGUCCAAGCCCCAGUAAACACACAGACAUGUAAAUCAGGGGUCUACAGAUGCAGCUCACCUCUGUGGUAUAAACCUUGCCUUGUAAGCCCUAGUUUUUGAUUCCUUGGAGGGGAUUUGGGGGGAUUCAGACUAUGGUACCAUAGUACAUGAAAGCAGCCCCCUCGAGGUGUGGGGUUCCUUAAGGUCUACCAUGUCAGCAUCUUUCUUACUGAUCUCAGGUCUGUAGCUCUGCUCUUCAUUUGGAAAUAAGGCUGGGUUCUGAGUUAUCUUUUGUUCAUGCAUGUCUGUGAGCUUGUUGCUUUGAGGCACUCUACAAGAUUCCGUCAUCCAGUCGGGGGCAUUCGUCACGAAGUUGGAUGGAAAUGAUGCUCUGAGCUGACCCACAUCCUGCCUUACACUGAGAAUUUCAGAACUGGAAGUGACUGAUUGGAGAAUUUGAGAGGUCACCCCUGAGCUCUGAGUGUGGCCCUGGUGCUUCAGAAGUUACCGAGAGUUGCACUGGUUUUAAAACUGCACCCAGGAAAUUCUCACCAUGCACUGAAACGGCUGGAGCCCCCUCCCUCGGGAACCUAAAGGUGAUGCUCGCUGAGUUAACACUGAGAGACACCUAAUCUUACAGUCAUUCCUCUUAGAAGACAGUUGAAGCAUCGUGGAAAUAGUUCUUUGCACUCUUAAAUACAGCUUCAAUUUCCUCCUUACACUUUGUCUAUUAUCUUUGCUAUAUAUCCUGAUUUCCUACUUAUAUUGAAUUAAUGCAUAUUCUUUGGAUCUUCUUAGAAAAAUUACAUUUCAAGGAGAAAAUGAUAAGGAACACUGUGUUUACCUUUAAAAUGUGCCUCCCUCUAGCUCUUUGAGCAAACUGAUGCUGUUUGCUUAGAGAAAAAAAAAAAAGACUUAUAUUUUAGUCCAACAUUAAACAUUACCUGAAAGAUUAAGCAAGGGACAUCUUGCUGGCAUUUUGUUUGGAGAAUUGGACGUUAAUGAGACCAUUGGCGUCAGAGACGUUAAUCCGAACGCCCUCUGUUCUGCCGGCCUUUCCACUUUUAUUUUCCAUUUUACUAGACUUGGGCUUUUACAUUUUCAUUUUCAAACUCAUAUCUCUGUUUUCAUAGCUCCCCUAUAUGUCAUGGGCAAUUGAUUUGAGGAUAUCAUCUAUAUAAGAAUUAGAUCUUUUUUUAAAGAAACCAUCUAAGAAGAGCCAUAGGCACAAAACAGUCUAAUAAAUGACUUUCAGAUAACGCUCAUCCCCUCUUU